rnacentral:lncRNA from 1 species
AAACAUAUAAGACAUUAAUAAUCUGCUAGCAAUGGGAAGACAACCAUAACAACAAUGAACUGAAUUAAUCAGUGCACACGACUAGUUAAAAACAAACAUCCUUUGACAAGAAGUUUCUAAUUAAAUCAUGGCUGUGUCUGGGCAGCAUUAUUAUGAGAGUGAAGGUGGAUGUGCUGCUACUUCCCACUCCCCUUGAUGAGCAACAAGCACCUGCAUUGAGUAAUGCAAGAGUGAGAUGAAACAUCUCAGCAAGCUAAUUGUUCUGACGAGAUAUUUAAACCACAAAUUGAAUUCAUCAACAUUUUAAAAGAGACUCAAUAAAAAAUCAGAAAUACUUGUAGAUAUAGAACACAGUAGUCCCACUAUAACCAAUACCAUCUCAUUUCCUCGAACAACCACAAUAGGUUCUAUAACACUUCCCUGCGUCAACAAUACCUGCAAAUAUCACUUCAAUGUAUGCAUAGGAAUGCAAUGUGUAGGUACUCUAUCUUCAUACCUCUGGGGGUAUAAAACCACAUCAUCUGCAAAUAUCACUUCAAUGAAUGCAUAUGAAUGCAAUGCGUAGGUACUCUAUCUUCAUACCUCUGGGGGUAUAAAACCACAUCAUCUGCAAAUAUCACUUCAAUGAAUGCAUAUGAAUGCAAUGCAUAUGUCCUCUGCCUUCAUACCUCUAAGGGUAUGAAGCCGCAUCGUACCCCUUCUCGGGCAACGUACGAUGCUAAGUUGUACCGGUACGGUCGGACCAUAGGUCACGACAAAACUUCAUAUGCAAAUGAGUCAUGCAAUGUAUAUGGCAUGCUACAUUUAUCAAUAAACUUCGCUUCCUUCAGAUACAACACAAACCUCAAAUAAUACUUCAUUUACCUUCAGAUACAAUACCAACCUCAAAUAAUACUUCAUUUACCUUCAGGGGUGUGAAUUAAUCUCAUGAGUCAUACUCAAAUCAUAAUCAUCAUCAAUAUAUGAUUGAGCAUCAGUAUAAUGCAAGCAAGUAAAGCAUCACCAUAGAGUCCAAUUAUGAAAGAAUCUGAUACUUCUGAAUAUUGGAGUGUAGGCGAUAGAAAUAACAGGUCAGAACGGAAGCAACCACCGCUACAUUCACUUGCCUUCAUCGAAGAAGAAGAAAUGUACUAUACAUGAUCUGGAGUGUAGCCACCUGCUAGUGGGCAUAAAACUUAGUACAAAUAUUUCACAAACAUUUGCCAUCAAUCAACAAAACACUCCUACACUUGAAACCAAGACCCAGUGGAAAGACUCUCACCCUGAACCACAUGCCAUACAGCAGCAACGCUGUUUGUUAAUUUUGUAUCUUUAAAAUUAAAACAGCGGUGAUAUCAAACAAAUACUCUAGGAGUAUCUACACAAAAUACUCUACAACUUCAGUAUUCAAUAGAUAAUUAAAUUCUGCCAUCUACAAGUUCUAAAACAUCUGACAAGAUAACUGACUGAAUCUGUUUUAGACAGCAGUAUGGUUAACUUUAAAAUUCGAUAUCUCCAAAACUGCUGAACCAAAAAUUAUGAAAUUCUGCUGGAAGUAAGAACUUUUAUCCCUCUACAAAAGUCUCCAUAGUUGGAAGAGCCAAUUCGGCCAUUUACUAGAUGAAACCCACCAGUGAACAGACCCACUCAUUUUUGUCAGGUAAACAGGAACAGCCACAGUAAAACAAACAUAACUGGAGUUUCACAAAUCAUAUGAAUGCACUCUUUAACAAUCUGGAAAGCUUAUAAAAUUAUCUACAACUUCUUUUACCAACCCACAGUUUAAUUCUGUUGAUAAAAUUGCCUAAAUCUUAAGAGAACAGAUUCUGCACAGAAUUAUGAGACUGAAAAACUGCUAUAGUAAAACUGCAAUAACUUUCUGGUCGAAUGUCCGAUUGAGGUGUUCUUCGCGGCCACGGAAAGAUCUACAAAUUAUCUACGACUCAUACAUAGACUUUUUAUUUUUUUGAGGCCACUAAGACCACGGAAAGCUGGCAUGAACAGAAACUGUCGAAUCUGCCAUUCUGCAGAAAACUAAAUUCGAGAUCAAAACCUAACCCCACAUCAAAUCCAACCUCUAAUCCUUUAAUUCCCAUGAUCCACAACCUCCAAAAGCCUAUAAUUACAGGGAGGAACAAGGAUCUCAUCCAUACCUAGGGUUUCCCCAAGAAAUCUUCAAGAGGAGAUGGGGAAGAACAUCUCCUUUAUCCUCUCUUCCUCUUCAAUUCAACGUGCCCCUCCUUUUCUCGAUCCUUGCUGCGUAGGGGGAGAUCUUGGGGGAGGAAGCAAUGGAGGAUGGCUGCCAUAGGGGGAGGGGGCGUCCAGCCAAGGGGG